UCUGAAGAUUAAACACACACGUUAGAGAAAGCAGCCACGUACGUGAGUUCUGUUCAGAACGUCAACUGAAGGAAGCAAACAGACGGCAAUUCAGGCUAACAGAUUGAGAUUACUUUCAAGACUCACAUUGCAAAACCAUUUUCUCUGUGCAAAUGCAAGCUAUUGAAGUGAUUCCUACCUACAUUUCGUCUACGAAUACUUCUACAACUGGAUUCUGCCCAAUGGUUUUACAAGCGAGUGGUUUUAUAUCCUUGGGUUGGUUAAAAGAACCAGAAUGUAAAGCCAUUGCUUUGUUCAGAGACCAGGAAAUAUCUGAUCUCUGUAAGGAGAUGGAAAACAGCAAACUGCAGAUGCAUGCUGUGUGCAUGGCCUGGAGUAGGCAGGUUUUGCUGGGAAAUGGUGGAUUAAGAAAGGUAGUACUGGAGUUCAGCAGAAAACCAUAAGUGUUUUCCCUUAGGUUUAAGUAAACUUACACAACACUGUUUCUGUUUAAGCUCUUCCCAUAGAAACACUGCUUAGUAUACGCAGUGCACUGCUCUCACCUUUUCUAAGUACAUCAUUACGUUCCUGUUAGAACUAGCCAAAAUUAGUCAUGUGCACUGAUCUAAUGCUACUGGUGUCCUGUAUUUCCCCUGCAUGAAAAACUUCUCCUUAAAUCCUAAGUUAAAACUUCUGUACACAGAUCUGAAGGGUUUAGAGAAUUGUUUUCCCACCAUUUGCCCCCUGGAGAAGAGCACCCUGCUGCCCCGGCUCCCUUCUCUGAAGGCAGGGCACAGAAACAGAACAAACCUUAGGAGACAUAUGCCAAGUCACAGGAGAAUAAAGCUUGCUUUAAAACAAGUUUCCUGGUGUGUCCUUAGUUUAUAUAAUAGUAAUUAUUCAAAUGAAGGAUGCAGACCUCUAUAUGGAAGUCUAUGGACUACUGAAGCCUUUCAUAAACCUCUUAAACAUGGGCUAAAAACUCACAGUCGUACAUGAACCACUGAAAACCAUUUCCUUACAGACUUGGAAUUUUACUGCCCUACUUGGAGUUAAUGCAACAGCCCUUCAGUGGUUACUGAGCCAAAGCAGCACUGGCAAGAAUCAAGUGCUACCAUCACAGCUACGAAACCCAAAUUCUUGCCAAAUUUCAAGACAAAACUUGGCAAUUCACAGCAGCCUAGAAAUUCAUGAAGGAUUUCAAGCAUGCACACACAUCACGUGAACAAAAUAUCUGCAGUCAAUCAGCUACAAGGCCACCAGGCUGAGAGUAUCUUGCAGGAAAAAUACGACCUCUGCUUUACAAUCACCAGGAGCCUUCAGCACAUCACGGGUCAGACCUCCACUCAGCACCAACACUGCACCAUGCAGCCAAGCAGGGACACACUGCUGCAACAUUAAAGGCUCACUACAUCUCUAAGCAUUGGACUUAAAUUGCUUUGUGCAGGGUGCUACAAUCUCACAGGUGCAUCCCAUCCAACACUCAGAGCUACUACCAUCAACAUGUGAGUUUUCAUGCUAGCUAAUUUUAGGGAGCAAAUGAAGGGUGUGGUGAGCAGAUUCCCUUUUAUACUUGUAAGAGAGGAAGGCCUUUCUGGAGCAGAAUUCUGAGUUUAAACUCAUGCUCUUAAUCUCAUUUUCUGCUGGUCACCUCCCUCAGCAAAUAACCCUAUUCUGUACACUCAUCCUUUGGGUCUGCUCCCUGUGAUGAGAGCCAGAAUCAGGGAGCUCAGCCCCCGAGGCUACCCAGGAAAAGCUGAUGGAGAUAUAACGAAACCAAACGUGUGCCUGUCCCCUGAAGGCUUGUGAGAGGCUGGGACAGUCUGUCGAAAACAUUUCUUGGAAGACCUACAACAAAACGGCACGUAGAACAGGAAAAGGCCGGGGAGACUGCCUGCAGCCUGAGCAUGCUGCGACAGCACAGCCAGGGCUGCCAGCCACCAGGGAACAGUUCCACAAUAAAAAUACCUUCCGAUUAAAAACGCUCGCUGAAGCGGAUUUAUAAGACUGCUGGAAAUGGCUUUCUACAGUCAAACAGUGCCACCUCUAAAAUUAAACAUUAACACUCGUGGGGUUUGUUAACACAGCUAAUACGUCACAUCGCGACAGAUGCGACGGAUAUGCGUUCAGCCAAAACCAAUGCAAGUUUUUGUGGUCUUUUUCCUUUUUUCAUACGUAAAUCUUCCUUGUGAUCAUGCCAGAACUCGCCCUUCUCUUGUUUUUGUAACAUAAUCUCCCUAGAAAAGUAAAUUGCACGUAAUUACCUCUUGUGAUAUUUAGGCAAAGGUUCAAAGGAAGCCUCGCUUACAUUAGUGGCAAAAUCUAUUAAUUAGUAAUUCACAGCAGUUGCCGGUUUGCCAUGUUAUUCUGUUGCACAUGUUGAGUAACACCUUAUUUUUCAUAAAGGCAAAAUAAAACUUGUAAGAAAGUGUAGAUUUAGGGGAAGAAAGGCAAAGCUGCUCCCUUCAGCUGCGCGGCUGACAAGUUGCAGCCAUGAGAUCACUCCCAGCCCUAUAAUCACGGGCGCUUUCCAUUAGCAAUUAACAAAGUCGCAGCACGGAACCAGCAUCCUCACAAACACCAGCACACUUCACGUUCUGCACAUCACACGGGCUCUCCUCUCAUUUCAACUACAAAACAACUCCGUUUCAGGAUAGUCGCUGUUAGAGGCUUUAACACUGCGCUGGUUGAACACAGAGCAACCAUAGCUGAUAUCUGAGAACUCAAAUCCAGGUCUUUUUACUGAAAACUGUGCAUCUGCGAGCACACAGGAGAGAUGGGAGAGAAAGGGAAAAGUCUGACUUGAAAACCAGGACUAAUUGAAAUCAUCAGGAGCUUUACUUCCUAUUCCCAUCAGAUUCCCACAGCUGUCUUUCCUUCUGGAAGUACAUUAUCCACUGCUCACACAUGUGAGACUGAAAGAGAACAUGGAAGGACACGUGACUGCUUUUUGUUUAAACAACUUUUUGCUGUUUAAACAUGCUCUUUACAGCUCCGUUACUGGGAAAAUAUUCAUUACUGAGUCAAACUGGGAUAGAAUCUUUGGCAUCUCAGUACAUUCUUUGAUUUUAGUAUGGUAUUCUUACCACGUUUUAGCAACUGAGAGACACAAAUGCUGGCAGCAGAUCACAAUAUUAAGAAUUGGGUCUACUGAUCUCAAUGUACACUGAUCAUACAUCUCAUGUACUUCAACAUUUGGGUACCAGUUAUUCAGAUCUAUGACGGCACAACAAUCAGGGCAUCAAGACUUCACAUCUCCAACGUUGUUGUAAUUUUCUUUGGAAUCAAACCUUUUGCAUAUGUUAAAACUCCCUAUUCACAAUAAUCAAAAGAAGCAUUUAAUGGAUUCUUUCAGACAAACAUUGACCUACUUUUAGAAAGACUGGAAGAAUGGUUAUAAAAGCCAUCUCCAGCAUUAAUUCUUCACUGAAUGAAGAUGCUUUGCAUACCGCAAUACUGGAUGUAUAAAGGCAGAUUACACCCGCAACCAAUACAAUGGGUGAUUGUUUAAUUGCUAAAUAUAAGGUUUUCUACUGCUUAAUUACUGCACCUAAAAGGUUGCGCAAAAGUGAUAUUCAUUGUGUACAGAGAUGUGGGGACAGACUGUAGAACAACGUACUUUCCUUCUCGAUGUUAUGCUGAGUAAGUAACAAUUCAUUUUUGAUGGAGGCUGUUGGGCAGGCUAAGUAAGGGGGGAGAAAUGUGUGUGUAUUUACAUUUAAAAUACUACAUUAGGAGUACGGAAAGGAAGUAAAUUGAGUCAGCAAUGUAUACAACAUGAUUUUGUAUGUUUAUAUUCUUAAUUUUGUCUUUUUAAUUGAAGCCGUCUAGAAAGAUACGUGAGAAGAGGGCAGGAAAAGGACUCAACAGAAGCAUAAUGUGAAAAUCACUUUUAAAAUGUUUUUCUUGUAAUGCUUCCCUCCAUUACACCACUGAGAGUUUCAACUCACUGCACCAUCAACCAAAGCAUUCAGCAGUGAAAGGAUAAAGCACGAACGUACGGAGACAUCUUUCACUCUUACAUCAUUCAGUACAUCUAAACGUUAAGCUCAACUCCACAACAACUUUUAAAGCAUUCUUUGCAACCAGAUUCCCGAUUCGAGAUUCAGCCACAAAUUUCAGCGGAAAUGUGAGCCAAUUCCUUAUUCCCUCUGUACUCUGCUUUUGUUAAAUGACAUGAAGGUUGGCAUGUACGCUCAGCUCGCAGACUGCCAGAAUGAUGUGGAUGAACUCUGCAAGUGGCACCGUUAGUUCCUAGUUCCACAUCUGGAUGGUUGAAAUGUCGUGCGUUUAAAACGCACACAAACACAUACACACACAUAUAUAAUGUGGUAUUGACACAUAUUGGAUGACUGGAUGCCAACUGAGAGUAUAAUACAAGAAAGGAUGACGUGGAAUUUAAGAAGUCAAAUGAUCCUGAGUUUCAAAGAACUGAGUGAGAAUGAAGUGAAAUGCUUUGUGGAUAUUUACUCCACCCACCCAUUCUUUCUUUCCCAUUCAAAACUUUCUACUACAUUAACAAUUUUCCACAUCCUUCCUGACAGCUCCCAAAUCAAACAGCAAACAUCAGUGCCAGCAAAACUACUCCAUCCUAAUUUCAAGGAAAAAAGAUGUUCAGAAAUACCAGACCUGAAAACAAAUGGCUGCACUCAUCCACUCUGCAGCCUAAGAAUUCAAAGGGAAAAAAAAGUUGCCAGAGGAUGAACAUAAAUUUAACUGUUCUGACCUUCACGGCUGACUCUCAACCAGCUGUUGAUGUGGCCAUUAAGUGUGCUUCUUGUUUUAACUUUAGGAUUAAGUCUCCGUUUUUAAAAGCUGAUAACUAAAAACCAUUUUGCUGGCUCGUGUUAUCUUAGGGGAGGGGAAAAGAGUGUAGGUGGUGACUUUUUGCCUUCCCUGUCUUUAAAGGAUGAGAACAUCAAUAUUUGCUGAGGCAAAAGCACACACCCCAUGAAACGUAAGGCCUUCAAAAUACUAUCCACUCUACAUUAGCAAUUGCAAAAUGUAAAAGCUUCAAGUACACUUCAGUGCUUAUUGGCUUCACCAGGAAUUCACAUUUCCUGGAGCCAAUUCACACACUGUUCCCCUGCCCAGCAUAUGAAGAUUCAAAAUGAAAUUGGAAAUUGAAGUGAGAAAGUUGCUAGCAUUUAAGCAUCCAUGGUACACACACAGGAAUGGGCUCCAAUAAGUCAUCGCUCCACCAGUUGCAAACCCCCUCAGAUUUUUCUAGCUACCAAAGUGCAAUUUUCAUUCAAAUGCACAUCCUCUUCCUCAGAGCACCUACUUUACUUUAUCAACACAUUCGGUCUUACGAAAGCAGUUCUUGUAUUACUCAAAUGUUCUUGUUAAACAGCACACAUUAAGAAUACAAGCUGUGGUCUCAGUCAUACUAAGAUCAGGUUGCUCUUCUGUCACGUUGUGCUUAAUCAGUUAGAAAAUCAACUAAAGGGCAAAUACUUUCAGACAGGAAAGUUAACCCUCUGGCCGCCCUUCGUUUGACUCAAAAAUCUUUUGUUUUAUCAUCCCAGCUGUAGAACAUAAAAUGGAAACAAAAUCCACAAUGUAGACUACCUUUAAAGCUAGGGGUAUAGAAAAUGAAAAGAGCAUGGCAGAAGCAAGUCACCUCUGCUGCAGGUUCAUCAGAAUCCACAAAAAUAAAGUAACCCACUGCUUUUAGGUCACCCACUAUCUCUAGCAGCUAUUUUGCAUCUUCUUGUAAGCAUUUUAGAUCAUGUUUCCAUGAAUUCUGAACACUGUUGGCUAUUAAGCUCCACUGUUCUUAAAACUAAGGACACUGCUACAAGCUCAGCGACUUCAGUGUCAGUGAUGUCCAUACCACAAUCAGCCAGGAGGAAGUGGACUAGUCCGGCUAAGAGCUUCCUAUUGGAAGACUGGAGUAUGGAUCUUCUGAUAAGGAAACUUGUUAGUCCUUCCACAGAGAUUUACCAACUGCCUUUUCUUCUUAACAAAAGUCUUAACGACUAGUUGUGUAGUUGAUUUUUUCCUUUAAAUCUAAGCACAAAAAAUAUAGAAGUAUAUUAACAACAUGCAGAUAAAUCAGACUGUAUUUGAAAGACAAUCUAUUGUGCACCCACACGCAGACAGAAAAACUGACAGAGCCAAUUGAGUUACAGUUAACAUUUCCUUUAUUUCAGUAUAAGAAUUCCUGAACUGAAGAAUGGUAUUUUGGCCCAUACUGCUAGACUAGAUAAAUUCUUAAGUAUGCGGUGCCACAAGUGUACACAGUACUAUCAUAGCAAAAAGACGGCCUGGGACAAGUUUCAUUUUUAUUAUUAGCAGUAGUUAGACGUUUCAGGUAAGGAUAUUAUGCAUUUCUGAAUUUGCCUGGAAAGUUAAUUAGAAUUUUGAGAACAUUUUAAAACAUUAUAAAAUUGCCUAUAGACACCCAUGAUACUUUGGUACGAGAUGUGGAAUAAAAACCUACAUGAGAUAAACAUUCAGUAAACAGAUUCUCUGCACUCUGAAGCCUAAAUAAUACACAAGCUGAGAGUAAUUACAUAAGAAACUUGAUUUUCUACACAAAAUGUGCUGCCAAAAAACAAGAUUCAAACCUAGAACUUCUUUUUUUUUUCCACAUGAAAGUGAAAGCAUCGUAACAAAGCAGUAUGGCCUGGUAGGCAACGCAAGUCAUUUCAACUGUUAGAGGCUUUGGCAGAGGUUUAGCAUGAAAGAAGUCCAAUUACUUGCAGUGUUCCACAAAACAAUACCCCUGACUGCUUAUUGGUGCUUUGAAACAGGGAAGAGAAAUCUAUAGGCAUACAGAAACAAACAGGAAACAACUGUCUGCUGGGUCACAAAGGAUGUAAAGAGAAACUAAACCUUAUGUUAUUCUUAAGCCUUAUUUUGACAAAAAAAUUAUCACUGAAGGAAGCUAGGAAUAAAAUGCCAGAAACACAUCGAUACACGUUUUUAAAACAACCUGCUAGGAUAUCUUCAACUAUCUUUUCUUCAGGACAGUAGCUUCUUUAAAAUAAUGCGAAUUUCCUUCUUCCUUUCUGUUCUUAGGAUCACAAAGGCAGUUAUUUUCACCUUUAGUAAGCAUGCCUAGAGUAUUUUAGUUGUAUAACGUAGGACAACUAGACUCCAGGGUUGAUAAAUGGAGCUGGCGUACUUAGUUGCAAGUUGUACAUGUCUCAUGACUGCCUUCUGGUUCAAACAGCUUACCUUUUAAGUUCUGUAUGUAUUCUUUCCAUUCUGUAUAGAUACUAAUACCCAUUAAACAAAAACCAAAAAACGCAGAUAAAAGAAAUCUGCCUCAAAUUAGUAAUUAAAAAAAAAAGUACUGUUUAAUAAGCACAAAAAAAGCAAAACUGAAGGCUACUGUCUUACAUUAUUAGGCAUUGGAAAUACAAGAAGUUGGAGCUACAAGCACCAGCUGAGCAUGUUUUGACACUGGAUAUUAUACAAAGAAUUCACUCUAGGGAAGAUACAGAACUUGCAUUAAAAACAUCACUUUCAAGAUCUUUCACAGGCUUCUUUCAACUGCCAUCUGCUGGUCAGCUCCUACUUCAUAAGGGUAUGAUGAAUGACAAACUAGCUAAGAAUUUAGAGUAUUACAUGUUCUUUAUUUUGUCCUCUUUAAAGGUAUUAUGAUUCUCUGACCAAGUUCAGAGGUAGCUCCUAGACCCUACAGGGUACUAUGACAUUUAUCUACUGUGAACAAACCCAUUCAAUUUAAUGAAGCCAGCCAAUAGUGACAAAAAUUGAUUGAAAAGCUAGAACAGGUAUGUCUUGUGCAAGCACACAAAAUGUACUAAUAAUCCAACAACAAUGGUAAUGCAAAGCCUUUUUUAUUUAUUAAAAAAUACUGGUUACACUCUACUGGCACCUACUACAUUAUUGAAGGGUAGAAGGAAAAGGUAAAAGACAGCACUUGCAUCUCUUCUCAAAAAUACGAGGUUCUGGAUGGUAACAUCAAAUCUUAUAGCAGCAGUAAAGCACUACUCUGAACUUUUGUAGACCUGGAAGUGUUGAUUAAUGUUCUCACACUAUGCCCCAAAGCUGCUCGUUACAAAAUAGAUUUCAAGGAAACUACUGUUGAUGCCAAGUGCCUAGAAGUAAAAUUAAGUAUUUUUCUUCCCCCAAGAUUAAAUGCAGGUAUGACAUUUACUCAUUCAUGUAUAAAUAUCAAAUAAAAAUAAAGGCAAUGCUAUUUUCUUGCCCAGUGACUUAGAGAAAAUCCCUACUGGUCCUGUCCAUCAUGGUAAAAUAACCAAAACCCUAAUUUUCUCAAAGGAGCAAAGGCCUACCUUUUACCCUGUGGUAUGUUAAGUCUUCUUUAUAAGGAAGAAGCCCACUCCAUGGCUCUCUCUCACUUCUAAAUUAGACACCUAAAAUGUCUUAUGGAUUAAUAAUUUGGGCUUCCAUUCGUUUUGCGUUAUUUCAAGUAUUCCCAUUAAAAAAAUGCCCCAAAUAACAAUAAAAACCAUCCAAAAUCUUUGUAAAUAGUCAAAAUAAGAUGAUCUUUCAGAGAAGAAAAAAUACAACUGUGCACACCCCUCUUUACUGAACACACUUCUACUAAACUUUAGUUGCAAUAAGUGACAUUUAAAGAGGUUUGCAACUAGCAGACCUUAACAAAUAACAUUUAUAUGUAGGUUCCCUUCUAGAACAAACUGUCCACAGGUAGUGCAGGGGAAAAUAAAGAA